rnacentral:rRNA from 1 species
ACUUUCAACAACGGAUCUCUUGGCUCUUGCAUCGAUGAAGAACGCAGCGAAAUGCGAUAAGUAAUGUGAAUUGCAGAAUCCAGUGAAUCAUCGAAUCUUUGAACGCACCUUGCGCCCUUUGGUAUUCCGAGGGGCAUGCCUGUUUGAGAGUCAU